rnacentral:rRNA from 1 species
GACGAACGCUGGCGGCGUGCUUAACACAUGCCAGUCGAACGGAAAGGCCUGCUUUCCCUUGUGGAUUGCGGGUACUCGAGUGGCGAACGGGUGAGUAACACGUGAGUGAUCUGCCCCCAACUUGGGUAUAAGCCUGGGAAACUGGGUCUAAUUCCCGAUAGGACUGCAGGGUGGUGCCUGUGGUGGAAAACGAUUUUCUAGUGGUUGGGGAUGAGCUCGCGGCCUAUCAGCUUGUUGGUGGGGUAAGGGCCUACCAAGGCGGCGACGGGUAGCCGGCCUGGGAGGGUGGACGGCCACAUUGGGACGGGGAUACGGCCCAGACUCAUACGGGAGGCAGCAGUGGGGAAUAAUGAACAAUGGGCGGAAGACUGAGGCAGCGACGCCGCGUGGGGGAUGACGGGCUUCGGGUUGUAAACUCCUUUCGACCGCGAGGAAGCCACCUGGUUGGAAGGGUGGUGACGGUAGUGGGAGAAGAAGCACCGGCUAACUACGUG